rnacentral:tRNA from 1 species
GGGCCCUUAGCUCAGUUGGUAGAGCGGCUGACUUUUAAUCAGUAGGUCGCAGGUUCGAACCCUGCAGGGCUCACCA